AUGGACAGCCGGGGCUUGAAUCGCAUAAACACUGCCAUAUUGGUCCUUAUACCCAAGAAGCAAGGGGCUGAAUCGCUCAAAGACUUCAGACCAAUCUCGCUAUUGCACAGCCUCAUCAAGAUCUUCACCUAGAUUCUUGCCACCAGACUAGCCCCUAAACUAGCUAACCUAGUUGACCAUUGUCAAAGUGCUUUCAUAAAAAAACGG
rnacentral:rRNA from 1 species